rnacentral:rRNA from 1 species
GAUGAACGCUGGCGGCGUGCCUAAUACAUGCAAGUCGAGCGAACAGACGAGGAGCUUGCUCCUCUGACGUUAGCGGCGGACGGGUGAGUAACACGUGGAUAACCUACCUAUAAGACUGGGAUAACUUCGGGAAACCGGAGCUAAUACCGGAUAAUAUAUUGAACCGCAUGGUUCAAUAGUGAAAGACGGUUUUGCUGUUACUUAUAGAUGGAUCCGCGCCGCAUUAGCUAGUUGGUAAGGUAACGGCUUACCAAGGCAACGAUGCGUAGCCGACCUGAGAGGGUGAUCGGCCACACUGGAACUGAGACACGGUCCAGACUCCUACGGGAGGCAGCAGUAGGGAAUCUUCCGCAAUGGGCGAAAGCUUGACGGAGCAACGCCGCGUGAGUGAUGAAGGUCUUCGGAUCGUAAAACUCUGUUAUUAGGGAAGAACAAAUGUGUAAGUAACUAUGCACGUCUUGACGGUACCUAAUCAGAAAGCCACGGCUAACUACGUG